rnacentral:rRNA from 1 species
GUUUGACGUUAGCAACAGAAGAAGCACCGGCUAACUCCGUGCCAGCAGCCGCGGUAAUACGGAGGGUGCGAGCGUUAAUCGGAAUUACUGGGCGUAAAGCGCAUGCAGGCGGUCUGUUAAGCAAGAUGUGAAAGCCCGGGGCUCAACCUCGGAACAGCAUUUUGAACUGGCAGACUAGAGUCUUGUAGAGGGGGGUAGAAUUUCAGGUGUAGCGGUGAAAUGCGUAGAGAUCUGAAGGAAUACCGGUGGCGAAGGCGGCCCCCUGGACAAAGACUGACGCUCAGAUGCGAAAGCGUGGGGAGCAAACAGGAUUAGAUACCCUGGUAGUCCACGCCGUAAACGAUGUCUACUUGAAGGUUGUGGCCUUGAGCCGUGGCUUUCGGAGCUAACGCGUUAAGUAGACCGCCUGGGGAGUACGGUCGCAAGAUUAAAACUCAAAUGAAUUGACGGGGGCCCGCACAAGCGGUGGAGCAUGUGGUUUAAUUCGAUGCAACGCGAAGAACCUUACCUACUCUUGACAUCCAGAGAAUUCGCUAGAGAUAGCUUAGUGCCUUCGGGAACUCUGAGACAGGUGCUGCAUGGCUGUCGUCAGCUCGUGUUGUGAAAUGUUGGGUUAAGUCCCGCAACGAGCGCAACCCUUAUCCUUGUUUGCCAGCAC